UUGGGAAAAGUCAAAUGCCUUCCUGACAGCCUGGGGCACCUCUAGACAGCUGGUCUCGUGCCCUCCUCCCCCUGCCCCGGGAGACAAGCGGAGGCAGUCACCAGUCACCGGGCAGGCAGGUGCCACCAGGAACCGUCCUGAUCCAGAACUGCCAGCAUCUCUGCGCCCGCCGACCCCGCAUUCGCCCCCAUCCCUCGGCCCCACCGGGCUCCACACCCACGGCGGCCACGCCCUCACCUCAGGAGAGCCGCGUGCACCUGUGUCCCACGGCCAAGAGCUGACGGGAGCCGGCAGGAUGGGACCUCCGUCAGCAGGGGCACCGUGAGGGACACCAUGCGGCACACCGGACUGUCACAUGCUCGCACGUCUGCCGCGGGCCUGGCUCCUGCCCGCACCAUUCCAGGCCCGGAGGACAGCGGCCCAGCCCGGGCGGACAUCUGAGCAUCUCGCCCACAUGGUGGUGGCCGGCCUCGAGUCUCCCUCGAGCUUCCCAGCCCGUGAACGUCCGUGUUCCUGACGGCAGUGUGACGUGAGCCCGCGCAGGGCAGACGCCUCACCCCUGCGAUCCCAGGAGACCGCCAGGCCUGGGCUGCAGGGCCUCUGGGGGCGCCUCAGCGUGAACCGCAGGCUGAUUCCGCACCCCAUCUACACCCUGCUGAGAAAGCCAAGUCCCGAGCGCUGCGGAAACGCCGCAGCCCGUGUGAAGGGCACACGUGUGCCUCCCGCUCGCACACCCGGGGAGUGGACACGGGGUCCUAGAGAUGGUGGGGGGGCACCGUGUGCCAUCUGGGACCUGUCAACAUCUCAACACGCGUUCCAGGCGGGACACGGGCCAUGGCCGCCUGUGGCCUCAGGUGAGCCCAGUGACUCCGUCUGUGUUCACAGCCCCCACCGACCCGCCGGCUCACCUGCCCAGACCCCAGACUCCACCGCAGCUCACCGGUGUCUCCGUGCCGGCCUCCCCGCACCUCCCCCCAGCCCACUCCUCCAGGAGGCCUGCCCUCCUCGUCACACGUCUCUGUCCCCAUGUCCAGGUCUGCCGCGUGAGCCCCUAACCUCACAGCGGCAGGCACCACGGGUCCCCACCGCCACACACGCGGAAGCCCAUCUCUCCCGGCGAGCAGCUGAGGGGUCACGGGGAGUCGGGAGCUGGGCUCCAGGACCCCUGUCCCAGGGGAGGGACAGCCCCACACCCUCCCGACGGGGCCUCCACACCAGGCGGCGGUGGCGACAGGACAGCAGCAGGCUGGAAGGCUCAGCAGGAAGAGACACACGUCCUGCUGGAGGAGACAGGGCGAGGCCACGCAUCCCCGCCCUCCCUGUGGGAGUCCCUCCCAACAGCCCGGUUCCCUCUUA